UACGUAGGUGGCAAGCGUUGUCCGGAAUUAUUGGGCGUAAAGCGCGCGCAGGCGGUUCCUUAAGUCUGAUGUGAAAGUCCACGGCUCAACCGUGGAGGGUCAUUGGAAAAUGGGGGACUUGAGUGCAGAAGAGGAGAGUGGAAUUCCACGUGUAGCGGUGAAAUGCGUAGAGAUGUGGAGGAACACCAGUGGCGAAGGCGGCUCUCUGGUCUGUAACUGACGCUGAGGCGCGAAAUCGUGAGGAGCAAACAGG
rnacentral:rRNA from 1 species